rnacentral:rRNA from 1 species
UACAGAGGUCUCAAGCGUUGUUCGGAUUCAUUGGGCGUAAAGGGUGUGUAGGUGGCGCGCUAAGUCGGGUGUGAAAUUUCGGAGCUUAACUCCGAAACUGCAUUCGAUACUGGCGUGCUUGAGGACUGGAGAGGAGACUGGAAUUCAUGGUGUAGCAGUGAAAUGCGUAGAGAUCAUGAGGAAGACCAGUGGCGAAGGCGGGUCUCUGGACAGUUCCUGACGCUGAGGCGCGAAGGCCAGGGGAGCAAACGGG